GAUUGGCAGUUGACUUCCCUGUUUUGUUUUUUUUUUUUAUUCUGAUGGAGAUUAGUGUAAGUCCAUAGAGUGGCUUCUGAUAUCCUUACUUGUUUUAGGAGACAGGUAUAAGACCAUUGAGUGGCAUCCAGUAUCCGCUUUUAUUUACUUUCAUCUGUUACCAUGUUCAUAUCAUUGCUCAUUUGUAGCCUAUUCCUAAGGACCCACUUGAAUCAUCUUCUAUAUGAUUUCAAGAGGUGGACCCUCCUAAGAAGUUU
rnacentral:lncRNA from 1 species